CUGACGCACAGAGAGAUGUGUGCGAUCCUUUUCGUUUCCACGCUCUCUUUUUAAUAGAUAUCUGCGUGAGUGAGUGUGGACUGCACUUCUGCUCAGCCGUUGUGCUGCAAGGUGUCUCUGCCUGGCACAAUGAAAGCAUCCACCCAUCCUCACGGCUUCGUCUGAGCAGGGAAUCUCCUCUGAAAGGCUCACUGAAGGGGAAAUAAAGGUUUUAAGCAGUGAGUGUGAUGGAGCUCGGCUGGGACGCCCCGGUGACUGGGAGUGUGAGGAUGUCUCGGUGAGGAGGUCAGUCCAGCAUUGGCAAGUCCUGGAGUGACCAUUCCCUUUGACGUGGAUGUGGGAACCCCGAUUGGCGCCCUGAGGCAGCGAGGCAAAGGAGAGGGAGAGGGGGCGAGAGAGAGAGGAUGUGGACCAGGAGCCAAGAGAGAGAGCGCCCGAGUGAAAGGCACAGUCGAUGGCGUUGACAAGCCCAUGGUUUGCAGUGGUUUCUAAGGCGAGACAAGAUCAUUGUGUACAGAUGUGCUGAGCAAGGCAUCUCUGGUGGGGUGGGGUGGAUUGUCCAAGGCAGAGAGCCAUUCAGAUGUCCUCAGUUCCACAAGUGGAAAAAGCCUGGAGGCUUUGAGAGAUAUCAUCUGAAUUGUGAGAUGGGCUCCCAUCCUCUGACCUGCUCCGUGAGGCUGUGCGUGAGACUGUGUGUUGAUGGUUAAUGCAAUCUCUUGUUAUUAAGAUGCCUCUGGGUUGGUAACACAAGCAAAGAUCUGGGUCUCCAGGGCAGGGCAAGCUCCCCGAGGAUUGUUGUUAUCAGGUGAAGGGUUUAAAUUUAGGGUCUCAACCACAGAGACUGAGAUCAUUCUGAGUUUUGGAGGCUGAGGUUGUCAGAUUGACAGCUGUGGGUUAGGGACAGUCUGGAGCAGUUACAUCAGGCACUGCUGGCGAUCGGAGCCGGAACGGAUAUCACUGCCUUCGGGAGCACAAGACAAGACAUGAGGAUACAGAGUGAGAAGAGGCCAUUUGGUCCAACGAGCUCACAGAAGCUGUCCUGUGUCUUGUGUCUAUGCAUUUCCCAUCCGAGUUUCUCUUGGUGUCUGGGUUCCUCUGUUACAGGGAAUUCUGUAAGCAGAUACUACUUGAGCAAUGUUCCCCACAACCGGAGCGAUUCAAAGCGAAAUGGUUCCCAACAAAGUUGCAUUCAUCUCAGUUGGUAAAAGCACAAACCAGUGUGAGACUGAG